rnacentral:rRNA from 1 species
UAUACAUGCAGUCGAGCGAAUCGACGGGAGCUUGCUCCCUGAGAUUAGCGGCGGACGGGUGAGUAACACGUGGGCAACCUGCCUAUAAGACUGGGAUAACUUCGGGAAACCGGAGCUAAUACCGGAUACGUUCUUUUCUCGCAUGAGAGAAGAUGGAAAGACGGUUUACGCUGUCACUUAUAGAUGGGCCCGCGGCGCAUUAGCUAGUUGGUGAGGUAAUGGCUCACCAAGGCGACGAUGCGUAGCCGACCUGAGAGGGUGAUCGGCCACACUGGGACUGAGACACGGCCCAGACUCCUACGGGAGGCAGCAGUAGGGAAUCUUCCGCAAUGGACGAAAGUCUGACGGAGCAACGCCGCGUGAACGAAGAAGGCCUUCGGGUCGUAAAGUUCUGUUGUUAGGGAAGAACAAGUACCAGAGUAACUGCUGGUACCUUGACGGUACCUAACCAGAAAGCCACGGCUAACUACGUGCCAGCAGCCGCGGUAAUACGUAGGUGGCAAGCGUUGUCCGGAAUUAUUGGGCGUAAAGCGCGCGCAGGUGGUUCCUUAAGUCUGAUGUGAAAGCCCACGGCUCAACCGUGGAGGGUCAUUGGAAACUGGGGAACUUGAGUGCAGAAGAGGAAAGUGGAAUUCCAAGUG